AACGCACAUGGCACCUUUGGGCUUCCCCAGAGGUAUACUUGUUUGAGUGUCAUUAAACAUCUCACAAUUACCCACAAGUUUGUGUGUAUAAUGUGUGGAUUUUGAAGGUCAACAGUGCAAGCAGUUAGCUUGCUUGUCGUCCUUUUAAAUAGAUUGAGACAUGAUUAAGGUGAAGGGAUAAUGAUGCUAUUGCUGUGGGUUCAGCUAAACACCGAGCCUCUCUUAGUUAAGAGAGGUAUCAUUGUCGAUCUCUAGCACAAUGCAUCUUUUGAUUUUGACCUCAAAUCAAGUAAGAGUACCCGCUGAACUUAA
rnacentral:misc_RNA from 1 species